rnacentral:rRNA from 1 species
CUCCGCCGGCGACCGGCGCACGGGUGAGUAACACGUAUGCAACCUGCCCCUGUCAGGGGGACAACCCGCCGAAAGGCGGGCUAAACCCGCGUACAUGCCACCGGGGCAUCCCGGAGGCAGGAAAGGCUUCGGCCGGACAGGGAUGGGCAUGCGGCGCAUUAGGCAGUAGGCGGGGUAACGGCCCACCUAACCGACGAUGCGUAGGGGUUCUGAGAGGAAGGUCCCCCACACUGGCACUGAGACACGGACCAGACUCCUACGGGAGGCAGCAG